rnacentral:misc_RNA from 3 species
AACGCACAUUGCGCCCUUUGGCAUUCCGAAGGGCAUGCCCGUUCGAGCGUCAUUACACCACUCAAGCCUCGCUUGGUAUUGGGCGACGAGAGUCCUCGCGCCCCCAUUUCACCGGCUGGACGGAUCGAACCUCAGCGUUGUGGUCAUUCAAAUCGCUGCCGGGACGAGACGGACGCGCCGUUAAACCUCUUUAUCACAGGUUGACCUCGGAUCGGGUAGGGAUACCCGCUGAACUUAA